ACGUAGGAGGCGAGCGUUAUCCGGAGUUACUGGGCGUAAAGCGCGCUCAGGCGGUUCGUUAAGUCGGGCGUGAAAGCCCCAUGCUAAACGUGGGGAGGACGAACGAUACUGGCGAACUAGAGUAGAGCAGAGGGACAUGGAAUUCCGGGUGUAGCGGUGAAAUGUGCAGAUAUCCGGAGGAACACCAGAGGUGAAAACGGUGUCCUGGGCUCAUACUGACGCUGAGGUGCGAAAGCGUGGGGAGCGAACGGGAUUAGAGACCCCGGUAGUCCACGCUGUAAACGAUGCCAACUGGAUGCUUGUGUCCCGAAAGGGAUGUGGGUGUCGGAGCUAACGCGGUAAGUUGGCCGCCUGGGGAGUACGGUCGCAAGGCUA
rnacentral:rRNA from 1 species